rnacentral:rRNA from 1 species
GACGAACCGUCCAAACGUUAUUCGGAAUCACUGGGCUUAAAGGGUGCGUAGGCGGUCCGGCAAGUUGGGUGUGAAAGCCCUCGGCUCAACCGAGGAACUGCGCCCAAAACUGCCGGACUUGAGGGAGACAUAGGUGAGCGGAACUUAGGGUGGAGCGGUGAAAUGCGUUGAGAUCCUAAGGAACACCAGUAGCGAAAGCGGCUCACUGGGUCUCUUCUGACGCUGAUGCACGAAAGCUAGGGGAGCGAAGAGGAUUAGAUACCCUCGUAGUCCUAGCCGUAAACAAUGAGCACUGAUUUGGAGGGUCCUCCAUAGCCUUCCAGAUGUAGCGAAAGUGUUAAGUGCUCCGCCUGGGGAGUAUGGUCGCAAGGCUGAA